rnacentral:rRNA from 1 species
GUACACUCCUACGGGAGGCAGCAGUGGGGAAUUUUGGACAAUGGGCGAAAGCCUGAUCCAGCAAUGCCGCGUGAGUGAAGAAGGCCUUCGGGUUGUAAAGCUCUUUUGUCAGGGAAGAAACGGUGAAAGCUAAUAUCUUUUGCUAAUGACGGUACCUGAAGAAUAAGCACCGGCUAACUACGUGCCAGCAGCCGCGGUAAUACGUAGGGUGCAAGCGUUAAUCGGAAUUACUGGGCGUAAAGCGUGCGCAGGCGGUUUUGUAAGUCUGAUGUGAAAUCCCCGGGCUCAACCUGGGAAUUGCAUUGGAGACUGCAAGGCUAGAAUCUGGCAGAGGGGGGUAGAAUUCCACGUGUAGCAGUGAAAUGCGUAGAUAUGUGGAGGAACACCGAUGGCGAAGGCAGCCCCCUAGGUCAAGAUUGACGCUCAUGCACGAAAGCGUGGGGAGCAAACAGGAUUAGAUACCCCGGUAGUCCCAUG